AGUGAACGCUGGCGGUAGGCCUAACACAUGCAAGUCGAACGGCAGCACAGUAAGAGCUUGCUCUUACGGGUGGCGAGUGGCGGACGGGUGAGGAAUACAUCGGAAUCUACUUUUUCGUGGGGGAUAACGUAGGGAAACUUACGCUAAUACCGCAUACGACCUACGGGUGAAAGCAGGGGAUCUUCGGACCUUGCGCGAUUGAAUGAGCCGAUGCCGGAUUAGCUAGUUGGCGGGGUAAAGGCCCGCCAAGGCGACGAUCCGUAGCUGGUCUGAGAGGAUGAUCAGCCACACUGGAACUGAGACACGGUCCAGACUCCUACGGGAGGCAGCAGUGGGGAAUAUUGGACAAUGGGCGCAAGCCUGAUCCAGCCAUACCGCGUGGGUGAAGAAGGCCUUCGGGUUGUAAAGCCCUUUUGUUGGGAAAGAAAAGCAGCAGGUUAAUACCCCGCUGUUCUGACGGUACCCAAAGAAUAAGCACCGGCUAACUUCGUG
rnacentral:rRNA from 1 species